CUUAUUUAUAUAUAGUAAAUAUCAUCAGUUAUGUAUUAGGAUAUAUGUUAUACAAUAAUUUUUGCUAUCACAUAGUUGAAAAUAAUUGUUUUAUUGUUAUUAUUAUGCAAAUGAUUUAUAUUUAUGAUCAAAAUUUAAUUUUUUUGAUUAUUUGUUUUGCAUAUAUAACAACAAAUUUGUAUUAGCAGCUCCUGAUUAGACAAAUUUCCGCCACCGGGCUCCGGGUACCCGAGUUGGCGACAAGGCUUAUGGGGGCCGGCCUUUGCAGGCUUGGUGAAGAGGGAGACAUGAUGAACCCUUCAUGCGAAGCUUGAUCAGCACUGAAGGUUGGCUGCUUCGGUGUUGGAAGAUUGUUCAUCAUACUCCCAAGCAUGAGAAGCACUGAAGGCAUGUCAGGCCUAUCAUUUGCUCGAUCUUGGACACACAGUAAGCCAACAUGUAUGCAUCUCAUCACCUGACGAGUAGAGCAUGUUUCAAGUAUUGAAGAAUCAAUAAGCUCCAUAGCUCGGUCCUCAUUCCACAACUGCCAUGCCUGACAAUAAUCCAGGACGGAAGUUCUUCUUGUCUUGCGAACACAUAAACGUUUAUCUUAAAAAA